rnacentral:rRNA from 1 species
UACGUAGGGGCCGAGCGUUGUCCGGAGUUACUGGGCGUAAAGCGCGCGCAGGCGGCUCGCUUUGCCCGGCGUGAAAGCCCCCGGCUCAACCGGGGAGGGUCGUCGGGGACGGGCGAGCUUGAGGCCGGCAGGGGCAGGUGGAAUUCCCGGUGUAGUGGUGAAAUGCGUAGAGAUCGGGAGGAACACCCGUGGCGAAGGCGGCCUGCUGGGCCGGACCUGACGCUGAGGCGCGAAGGCGUGGGGAGCGAACGGG